CCUACGGGUGGCUGCAGUGGGGAAUAUUGGACAAUGGGGGCAACCCUGAUCCAGCCAUGCCGCGUGUGUGAAGAAGGCCCUCGGGUUGUAAAGCACUUUCAGUGAGGAAGAACGCCUGGUGGUUAAUACCCAUCAGGAAAGACAUCACUCACAGAAGAAGCACCGGCUAACUCCGUGCCAGCAGCCGCGGUAAUACGGAAGGUGCGAGCGUUAAUCGGAAUUACUGGGCGUAAAGCGCGCGUAGGUGGCUUGAUAAGCCGGUUGUGAAAGCCCCGGGCUCAACCUGGGAACGGCAUCCGGAACUGUCAAGCUAGAGUGCAGGAGAGGAAGGUAGAAUUCCCGGUGUAGCGGUGAAAUGCGUAGAGAUCGGGAGGAAUACCAGUGGCGAAGGCGGCCUUCUGGACUGACACUGACACUGAGGUGCGAAAGCGUGGGUAGCAAACAGGAUUAGAUACCCUGGUAGUC
rnacentral:rRNA from 1 species